UACGUAGGGGGCGAGCGUUGUCCGGAGUUACUGGGCGUAAAGGGUGCGUAGGCGGGUCUUUUAAGUCAGGGGGUGAAAUCCUGGAGCUCAACUCCAGAACUGCCUUUGAUACUGAGGAUCUUGAGUUCGGGAGAGGUGAGUGGAACUCCUAGUGUAGAGGUGGAAUUCGUAGAUAUUAGGAAGAACACCAGUGGCGAAGGCGGCUCACUGGUCCGGU
rnacentral:rRNA from 1 species